GCGGCAACAGCUCAAAUUUGAAAUCUGGCUCUCGGGCCCGAGUUGUAAUUUGUAGAGGAUGCUUUUGAUGCGGUGCCUUCCGAGUUCCCUGGAACGGGACGCCAUAGAGGGUGAGAGCCCCGUCUGGUUGGAUGCCAAAUCUCUGUAAAGCUCCUUCGACGAGUCGAGUAGUUUGGGAAUGCUGCUCUAAAUGGGAGGUAUAUGUCUUCUAAAGCUAAAUACCGGCCAGAGACCGAUAGCGCACAAGUAGAGUGAUCGAAAGAUGAAAAGCACUUUGAAAAGAGAGUUAAAAAGUACGUGAAAUUGUUGAAAGGGAAGCGUUUAUGACCAGACUUGGGCUUGGUUAAUCAUCUGGGGUUCUCCCCAGUGCACUUUUCCAGUCCAGGCCAGCAUCAGUUUUCGCCGGGGGAUAAAGGCUUCGGGAAUGUGGCUCUCUCCGGGGAGUGUUAUAGCCCGUUGCGUAAUACCCUGGCGGGGACUGAGGUUCGCGCAUCUGCAAGGAUGCUGGCGUAAUGGUCAUCAACGACCCGUCUUGAAACACGGACCAAGGAGUCGUCUUCGUAUGCGAGUGUUCGGGUGUCAAACCCCUACGCGUAAUGAAAGUGAACGCAGGUGAGAGCUUCGGCGCAUCAUCGACCGAUCCUGAUGUUCUCGGAUGGAUUUGAGUAAGAGCAUACGGGGCCGGACCCGAAAGAAGGUGAACUAUGCCUGUGUAGGGUGAAGCCAGAGGAAACUCUGGUGGAGGCUCGCAGCGGUUCUGACGUGCAAAUCGAUCGUCAAACAUGGGCAUGGGGGCGAAAGACUAAUCGAACCUUCUAGUAGCUGGUUUCCGCCGAAGUUUCCCUCAGGAUAGCAGUGUUGAACUCAGUUUUAUGAGGUAAAGCGAAUGAUUAGGGACUCGGGGGCGCUAUUUAGCCUUCAUCCAUUCUCAAACUUUAAAUAUGUAAGAAGCUCUUGUUGCUUAAUUGAACGUGAGCAUUCGAAUGUAUCAACACUAGUGGGCCAUUUUUGGUAAGCAGAACUGGCGAUGCGGGAUGAACCGAACGCGAGGUUAAGGUGCCAGAGUAGACGCUCAUCAGACACCACAAAAGGUGUUAGUACAUCUUGACAGCAGGACGGUGGCCAUGGAAGUCGGAAUCCGCUAAGGACUGUGUAACAACUCACCUGCCGAAUGUACUAGCCCUGAAAAUGGAUGGCGCUCAAGCGUCUCACCCAUACCUCGC
rnacentral:rRNA from 1 species